rnacentral:rRNA from 1 species
UACGAAGGGUGCAAGCGUUACUCGGAAUUACUGGGCGUAAAGCGUGCGCAGGCGGUUUUGUAAGCCAGAUGUGAAAUCCCCGGGCUCAACCUGGGAACUGCAUUUGUGACUGCAUCGCUGGAGUGCGGCAGAGGGGGAUGGAAUUCCGCGUGUAGCAGUGAAAUGCGUAGAUAUGCGGAGGAACACCGAUGGCGAAGGCAAUCCCCUGGGCCUGCACUGACGCUCAUGCACGAAAGCGUGGGGAGCAAACAGGG